rnacentral:rRNA from 1 species
GACGACCGCUGGCGGCGUGCUUAACACAUGCAAGUCGAGCGGAGCGGCGAAAGGGUGAGUAACGCGUGAGUAACUGCCCCCCUCUCUGGGAUAACAGUUGGAAACGGCUGCUAAUACCGGAUAGUGGGGGAUGACUCGCGUCCUAUCAGCUUGUUGGUUGGGUAGUGGCCUACCAAGGCGAAGACGGGUAGCCGGCCUGAGAGGGGGACCGGCCACAUUGGGCUGAGAUACUGCCCAAACUCCUACGGUAUGCAGCAGUGGUGAAUAUUGCACAAGGGGGGAAACCCUGAUGCAGAAUCGCCGCGUUCGGGAUGACGGCCUGCGGGUUGUAAACCGCUUUCAGUCAUGACGCGGUAGUGGCAGAAGAAGCACCGGCUAACUACGUGCCAGCAGCCGCGGUAAUAC